rnacentral:lncRNA from 1 species
UGCUUUUGGCUCGAUGAAAAGAAAUAUAUGUAUCCAAAUAUGUUACUUCUGAAUUAUAGGUCAUAAUUGGUUAUACUAAAGAAUCAAAAAGAUUAUUUGCUACUUUUAUAGGUAGAUUAUUCAAUGAUUUAGUAUAUGAUUUUAUUGCAAAAAAUACUUUUUUUGCUUUUUUUGUCAGCUCUAAAGUACUUUGUGAUAAAUUUCCAUUACAUUUUAUCAACCAUUGUGGAGGGAAAUAUCAAAUGCACAUUUUAUGAAAUAGUAAAACAAGCAUUAGUUAAUCUCCAUUUUUGUGUUAAUUAACAGUAAACAUUGUUCAUAUAAAAUAUUUAUGUAAAGCGCUAAAUGGAAAUUGUUCCAAUAGACAACUUUCGAGUUCGAUGCAUUUCCGUCAAAAACUCUGGUUUUAGUGAACGUCAUUUGUGCGUUUAGGGGCGUCGUCACUUCCGUUUCAAUGUUGAGCGAGUGGUUGGAAAACUAUAAUUCUAUAUUGUACGAAUUAUUCAGCAAAUUAAAUUCUCAAAAUUGACAAUCAGCACUGCUGUCAUUAGGGAAUUGUCAUUAAGUACCUACAGAACAACCAUUAUUUCUAGUUUAUCCUGCACAACGACGAUCACUAAGACGCUUGAUGAACGUAAAUAGUGCAGGGAUACAGGCGAUCCCCUCUAUCUGGUAAAUGACGUCAUAAAGGCGCGCAUAAUUGACGAGUUUUUGCCGGUGACGGAUGAACUCAAAAGUGGUCUAUUGUGAUAGUUUUUCCCCUGCAUUCAAUUACUGACAAAUGUUAUCCCCAAUGAAGGCCUAAUGACGUAGUAUAAUGUCAGCAAAAACAUUAUUCUUUGACAGAAAGCAGUGGCAGAUCCAGGAAGGGGAGGGGUUUCAAGGUAUUGGAUUUUGAAUUGGGACAUAUGGUUUGAACACACACACACACAUUCAUCCUGGGUUUGAAACCCACCUUUUAAAAAUGGCUGGGUCUAGCUGCCACUGGAAAGUUUACAAUUACAAUCAUGGGUAUUGCACAUGUACAUGAAGCCUAAUUUAAAGGUAUAAGUUUUGAAAGGAAAUAACUACUUUUGUCCUGAUAUCCAAAAUGGGUUUUCCGCUAUUAAAAAAUAAACAUUUAUUUGAAGAUGACUUUUUUUAAAUACUAAUUUCUCAGUAAUCAAUUAACAAAUGUUAAUAUUUUCAAAAAUGAUGCAUUAGUUUUAAAACCAAAUUGAUCAUUGAAACUUGAAACUUGAUUUCAGCAAAAAAGGUUUUAACACUUUUGACCUGAUAUUUGUUUAUUUGCAUUUUCACUUUUAAAUUUUAAAUACUUUGAUUCUUAAUGAUGUCAGGUUUUUAAAAAACAGGGUUGUUUGCAGAAGGUUGUUUUUUAUUAUUAAUAUGUUAAUUUUUCAGGGCAUCUUCAUGUUUUUCAUUGAAACUGUUUAAGUUUUCAAGAAUUAUACCCACUUUAUUUAUUUAUGCUGUUAUAUUAAUUUUAUUAUUAAAACUUUAUGGUAAAUCUAUAUAUAUACAUGCCUAUCUGUGAUUAUAAGAAUGAAUUUUAUGGUAAUCUAUAUAUAUACAUGCCUAUCUGUGAUUAUAAGAAUGAAUUUCAUUAAACACCUCAUAUAUGUGCUAUUUUGAAAUCUUAUUUUAAAUGUAUGAUCUUAUUUUCCUUUAAUGAUCUCUUCUACAAAUGACAUUUUAAACAACUAUUUUGACAUAUAACCAUAUGAAUAUAUUAUACUUAUACCAAAGACCAAAAUUCAUACUGCAUAGCAAUGGUUUUUAAGUGUUUGAAUAAUGUAGCACCUGCAUAUUUAUAUAACUAUUUUAAGUUGUUCAGUUGUUAAUAAAUAGGCAUUACGGAUGUUUGCUUGUCAUGUUUUGGAAUUUUUGUCAGAUUUUCGAAAUCCUCUGGUUUUAUCCAUUUGAAUGCCUUUAAAAAAUUUGAUAUAUAUAAUGGUAUGGUGUUGUCGUCUGCGUCGUCGUUGGAAGACACAUUGGUUUCCGGACAAUAACUUUAGUUUGAGUUAAAAGAUCUUUAUGCAUUUUUUUCUAGAAGGUUUAAUACCACUAAAUGAAGCCUGGGAUUAAUUUUGGGGAUGAUUGCCCCAACCGUAUAGAAAUUAGCGGCCCAAAAGGGGCCCAAAACUAGCAUUUUUCUAGUUUCAGGAUAAUAAUUUGUGUAUAGAUAUUUCUAUUGCUCUGAAAUUGUACCACAAUGCUAAAUACAACAAGUAGAAGGUUGGGAUUCUUUUUAUGGGUUAUGGGGCAACAAAUUUAGGAAUUAAGGGCCAAAAAGGGGCCCAAAACCAGUAUUUUUAGCUCACCUGGCCCGAAGGGCCAAGUGAGCUUUUCUCAUCACUUGGCGUCAGGCUUCCGGCGUCGUCCGGCGUCGUCCGUCGUCGUUAACUUUUACAAAAAUCUUCUCCUCUGAAACAACUGGGCCAAAUUUAACCAAACUUGGCCACAAUCAUCAUUGGGGU